AUGCUUGGUCAGAUUACUCAGUACGAGCCUUCUUCAAAAGAAUUGACUACCACGGAUCUCAUUGUUGAGGCUGAAGUUGCUGCUUCUAAAGUUCCAUUGGUGGAAAGCAUUUGCACUUUGAAAAAUCUACAGUCUGACACAAAUGAAUGUUCUGCAACAACAACCAUAGACGGAAAAGAGACUUCUGUUGCCAAUGUUCUUCCGGCGUCAAAUAUAUGUGCUUCAACACAUCAGCCAGAAUUAAUCUCUGCAGUCAUCAUUCCCACAAGCACAUUUAUCCUUCCCAACAAUGCUACUGACCAAGUCCAGUCACCUCAUGUUCAAACUGAGAAAAACAACAUGCCAAGUGAAGAUUCAUCAAUCAUGAAGAUUGUUUGUUCUGAUGUUCAACCGGAUAGUUCUUCUCUUGCACCUGUUACUACUACUAUCAAUGGGCCUGGACAUGGCAACCCAGUGGAUCAGCCAGAGAGUAAUGCAUUUGCUGUUCAACAUGCAAAACAUGAUUCAACAAAAAAUGUUUUGCAUGAAGUACGUAAUGCGUUACUACUGCAGAUAGUGUUGAUGUAA
rnacentral:rRNA from 1 species